rnacentral:lncRNA from 1 species
AAAAGAUGAAACCAAUCACAAUGUGAGGCUAGAACUAGAGUUUUAGGUAGUUUCGUGUGCAUUGUGUAUUAGUGAGCCACUUUUGAAGUCCAUGUGGUUUUGUAAAAUGCAUUAAAAUGCAGGUAGCUUAUAAUGGUACAAAAUGAUUCCAUCCAUAUAACCCAAAUAUUUAACCAUCCAAACUGUCUCAACCAUAGACCUCAAGUCCUUGUCAAUAUAGUCAAAAUAUGCCAUAUCACUUCCUACACAGAAAUUGUCACUAAAUCUACCACCAUGAAACAUUGUAAUAGUGAAAUGCUCGGAUCAACUGCAAUGCACAUAAGAACAAGCAAUGAGACAAAAAAUGAAGUACCAACUUGACAAAAAUGCAGUACGGAUUUGAGACCACCUAAAAAUGCAUAUGAAAACUCACAUGCCUAACCUAACUUUC